AGCUUGCUCCCUGAGAUUAGCGGCGGACGGGUGAGUAACACGUGGGCAACCUGCCUAUAAGACUGGGAUAACUUCGGGAAACCGGAGCUAAUACCGGAUACGUUCUUUUCUCGCAUGAGAGAAGAUGGAAAGACGGUUUACGCUGUCACUUAUAGAUGGGCCCGCGGCGCAUUAGCUAGUUGGUGAGGUAAUGGCUCACCAAGGCGACGAUGCGUAGCCGACCUGAGAGGGUGAUCGGCCACACUGGGACUGAGACACGGCCCAGACUCCUACGGGAGGCAGCAGUAGGGAAUCUUCCGCAAUGGACGAAAGUCUGACGGAGCAACGCCGCGUGAACGAAGAAGGCCUUCGGGUCGUAAAGUUCUGUUGUUAGGGAAGAACAAGUACCAGAGUAACUGCUGGUACCUUGACGGUACCUAACCAGAAAGCCACGGCUAACUACGUGCCAGCAGCCGCGGUAAUACGUAGGUGGCAAGCGUUGUCCGGAAUUAUUGGGCGUAAAGCGCGCGCAGGUGGUUCCUUAAGUCUGAUGUGAAAGCCCACGGCUCAACC
rnacentral:rRNA from 1 species